rnacentral:rRNA from 1 species
GAUGAACGCUAGCUGCAGGCUUAACACAUGCAAGUCGAGGGAACGGCGCACGGGUGAGUAACACGUACCACACCUGCCCUUUACUCGGGGAUAGCCUUUCGAAAGAAAGUUUAAUACCCGAUAUAAAGGAUGGGGAUGCGUUCCAUUAGGUUGUUGGUGAGGUAACGGCUCACCAAGACUUCGAUGGAUAGGGGUUGUGAGAGGAAGGUCCCCCACAUUGGAACAGAGACACGGUUCAAACUCCUAGGAGAGGCAGCAGUGAGGAAUAUUGGUCAAUGGGCGCUAGCCUGAACCAGCCAAGUAGCGUGAAGGAUGAAGGCUUAUGAGGCGUGAAUUUCUUUUAUAUAAGAAUAUGUAUUAUAUGAAUAAGGAUCGGCUAACUCCGUGCCAGCAGCCGCGGUAAUAC